UUAAAGCAUAUUAAAAAUGGAAAUUAAGUGAUUUAUAAAUUUUAAGUAAUAUUUCUUUUUAUUCAGGUCCAACAAAGAGACAUUUUAGGAGACAAUAAACCGAAGCUGAAUAUCUUGAUCUUGGGAGACGAUUCCGUUGGAAAAACUUCUCUGGUAUAUCGACAUAUCAACAAAGAAUAUUCUGGUGAAUGCCAAACAACGUUUGGAGCGGAUCUUUUUACAAAGGAAUUCAUUCUUGAUGACACUUUGGUUUCCCUGCAGAUUUGGGACACAACGGGACAUGAUGAAUUUAAAUGUAUGGGCAUGUCAUUCUAUGAAGCCGCCCAUGGCUGCAUUUUUGUCUUUGAUGUUACUAGUCGAAAAUCAUUCGAAAGUCUUAAUUCGUGGUGGCAAGGAUUUUUUUUUAUGACAAAUAAAAAAAACACUCCGGUUGGUGUUGUGGGUAACAAAAUUGACUUGGAAAAUGAACGAAAAGUGUCAAAGCAAGAGGCUCAAGAUUGGUGUAAUUCCUUAUCAAUUCCCUACUUUGAGUGCUCCUCAAAAGAUGACAUAAAUGUGCAACAGGUGUUUGAAGCGAUGACAGCCAAACUUGUAGACACCUAUAAGUUAUAAUUUGAAAUGUAUUCCGAAAUCCUUCGCAUUUCCUUUUCGGUUAUAAUUAUUUGAACA